AGGCCUGUUAGUACACUUAUAUUACGAUUUCUUCAUUUUAUUAUUAGUUCAUGUAAUUUUUUCAAAAUCGAAUAUGUGGAAAGGAGCUGUUUGGAAUGAAGAUUUACAAGAAGAAGUUGUUCCAUCUAAUUGGAUUAGCGAUAAAACUGUUUGUCGGCUUCCAGGUACCAAAGCAUUGACUGCACUAAAAUGCAGAGAAGAUUUUGCUUAAGUUUAUACAAAUAAAAACAAAAUUCUAUUCAGUUAUAUGGCCUACACGGAUAUGAAAGGCAAAGGUGGAAAAAUAUGUUUUAAGAACACUAAUCUAUAUGGCGUUGAAAAAGAUAUACCUUCUUUCUUCUAUUGUAUUCAAUGGACCAAAAGAAACCUCGGUUAAUGGAACAUUGUUUGAUUUAUCUAAAUUACGCUCUAUUUCAAAAAGGUGAUGGAAAAGAGAAGAAAUUUGUGUAGAUUUUAUUUAAUUAUAUAUAAAUAUAUGUAAUAUUUAAAUAUAUUUUUCAA